CCCCUGGUGGUCUAGUGCCUAGGAUCCCGCGCUCUCACUGCCGCGGCCUGGGUUUGAUUCCCAGGCAGGGAA